CAACAAUCGCCAUCGUGCCAAAAUUCCGGAGUCCCACCCUCAAGAAAAGAGUCCUGCCUCAUAGGAGCUGCUGGAGGCUGCUGUGCAAACAGACACCCCACCGGAUGAUGCAACAUCUGCCCGAACAGGGCGUUUGCUGUCAAGCGGGGCGAGAUUCAUAGUUCUGGCCGCAAUAGCCUGUCCCACUGACAGGACCCCGAGGCCGUUCCAGCGGGAGGAGAGCCAAGGAGGCUGCGCUCGUGGACUUGACGUGUCUCGCAGGCCUGCUCCUAGAAUUUCAUCCCUUGCCGUCCCCGCUUCUCUCCCCCUCCAGCCCAGCGUGAACUUCACUUGGGCCAAAAAAUCAGCUGCAUGAGAACAGGAUGGAGCAGGCAGCUGGAGACACGAGUCAAUAAAGCCCGCGAAGGAAACCUCAGGAUUUUCCUAACUGUGAACUUAGCGAGAAGCAACAGCAGGAGCUCCAGAAACUUCCUUAGGUGACAUGGAAUGAGAAACAGCUGGGAAGAGUGAAAAAAAAAGAAGAAAAAAAGGCUAUUCAUUCUUCGGGAUUUCCAAGAAGACAACAUGCAUGAUUUUAUCUUGAUGGCCCACCAAACUGGGUUCAUUUGCAAUACCAUCACUUAACCCAGGGCUGGGGUAGGACGAUGGGAGUGGCGGGCAAUGGGAGAUGAGUGUGCCUUCAUAGCUAAUUGCUGGACUCCCACUUAAGCAAACUCACCGAGUACUCAUAACUUGGAACCAGUUCAAGUCAUUCUGUGAUUUGCUAGACAUGUCCGCUAUUAUCCGUACUUUAAUGUGCGAAGGCAGCACAAGAGCCAAAAUGGCAAAGUGGUGCCAAGACUCAACCACCAUUAAUGAGCAUAUUAAGGGUCAGCAGGCUGCACAGUUCAGUUACAUCAUGCGGUAAUCAGUCAUGUCUAGAGUAACCCAAGGACUCCCUAAGACAACCCAUAAAGCCGUCCAAAGUUGACUGUUAUGAAGGUUAACCUGAGAGCGCUGAUUACAACCACGGAGUUGACACACAUAAUUAGGUUAGAAAAGCUCUCUAAGUGAAACUGAAGACAGAAUCUUAUAGAAACAGAUGUUUAUCCAACUAAUGCUGUUGGGUGAGUGCCAUGUGUCUGUAUCUGUGAGAUGCUCGUGUCAGGAACAGCCUUCGACUCUCUUGCCUAAUUGUAACUCAGAGGUGUCUGUGUAAUGAAAGACAAUCGCACUGCCCUAGGACCAAACAUGACGCGACAGGUCAUGCCUGCCCAGUGCUCUGUUCCUCACACCUCUUUUGCAGCCUGAGACUUCCACCGGGCGAGAGACAGACUGGAAUGUCCCACAGAAGGAAGCUGGCAAGAGCAGCGCCAUCACAGAGAAAAGAGAAGCAGCCAUCCCGAUAUCAGAGCAACAUGGCGGGCGCUCCAGAACGCCAACCAAAAUACCACUUUCUACUACACGAGUAGAGGAGGAGAAAGCCCCAGGGGACGGUCCUAGGCUGAGGAAAUGAGAUAAGCCAGAGGAGGCAAUGUUCAAGAGACUGAGCUAGUGGGCCCCCUUAUCUUCUCACACGGAAAGGAAAAAGGAAGGGAGCAGCAAGUGAUAACCAAGAUGGACCUCAGAGGGCAGCAUCUGUCCCCGCCCCCCAACACCACCGCCAGGGGUCUUCUUUCUGGGUGACAAGUGGGAGAAUCCCCAGCCACAAAUGAGCAGAAAGGAAACCCUAUCAGGUUGUCUGCCCGCCAAAACCCUUUCACGGCUUCCUACCGGCCUUUGGAUGAAAUCCAAAAUGCCUAACAUGCCUAGAAGACCCUGCAUGACUGAACACAAUGAAAAGUGGUACAAUUAAGAUCAGAGACCAUCUUAAAGAUGCAGAAGGAGUAAUUUUCCUUCAAACAUCCUGAUAUGAGCUCAUUAUUCCAAGUUAAUAUUAAAUUUAGCUACAAGUUUCCUAAAAGCCAAUCAAAAGUGAAAUGCUUUGGUGCAUGAUUGGUAUUUUUAAACAAAAGUUACCACGCAAAUACGUUUGGAGAGCACUCCUGACAUUAAACCCAAGGACUUCACACAACCCUUGUCUGAGGAUGGGAAACCCGUUUGUUAUGAGUGGUGUGAUAAUGAAUCAAGUCCAAGGGGUACAACAUGGAUAGAUGUUCAACAGGAUGCUGCUAUAUGAGAAAGUACUGUGUAAACUAUAAAGGGCGUUACCCAAUCUUAGGUAAUCUAAACCGAAAGGUGUAUUCCAUUUCCACGUUGUUCGUAUCGCACCUCUGUUUGCAUAGCCGAAUGGAAACUGUUCCGUGGGGGUUAAUUGAGGUCAUGUGGCAAAGCUAUUCUGCUUCCUGAUGAUGUAAAAGGGUUUGACUAGUUUGCUAAUUCUAAAAGAAAAGCAGAUAAGAUUUUGUCUCUCAAAUGGCCCCUUUCUUGCUCAAAGCUUAGGCAGAUAAGUGUACAGAAUCGAUGUUGUGAGUCAAAGAAGCAAGAGCGGAAGGUUUAGAUAAGAGAUGAAGGGGUGAGGCUUCACUCUGUCGUGAAAUUUAAAGCCGCAAUAUGGAACUCUAUGAAUUUAGUUCUUUAGGAAUAACUAAUCAUCCAUCCUUCCUCCAAUUCAGAAGACAUCCAGGUAAUGAUAAGUGUCUGUUUAUUGCUCUUGGCCAUGAACACAAGUCAAGAGCAUUUUCAAUGGUAAAUGGUCACUGUGCGAUGAACCCAAGGAAAGGACCCUGUUUCAAUAUUAUUGGGAAGUGAAGAUGUGUGCACUCCAGCCAAACAGCAGGAGAGUGGAUCCGAGACUCCCUCUCCUUUCACCUCCCGACUCUCCUUCCUCCCCCCCAGUCCUCACCCCUGACACCCCUCAAGUGCUUUCCUGGAGGAAGCCAAUGAGGCUCUCUGGUCCUCACCUGCCCAAAGCAAGUACCCAAAGUCACUCUUUUCAGAAACAUUGGAAGCUUUAGAAUCACUGACGUGUAGAUGCCCUUUCUCAAGGCUACUCGUGUCACCAUGCAAGACUGUGCGGUGCACAACCCUGAGAACAUCAUUCCAGAGACCACCUUAGUAUGAUGAGUGAUUCUCUACCGUACCCUGCGCAUCUGGGUAGUAUAUUAGGUGAUCUGGAUCCCAUGUGACUCUUCUAUUUUACCAGCAGUCACUCAGUCUGGAUUUAGUGCACAGGUCCUGGGCUACAUCUGUGGGCUGUGGUUCCGAUGACAGUUGGGAUUGGAGUCCUUGCAGUGCUAGUCUGUUCUACUUCAUUUGUACGCUGCUCAGAGUCCACGCUGAAAACUCUCCUAGUUUUCCACACUGCAGUCCAGUUCUCGAACCUCCUAGUGUGUUCGUUUGCGUCAGUUGCACAGUUCAGUGGUCAGGUGUCUGCCCGGGACUUCCGUAGGACUUCCUAUGCAGGAUGGAAGAAUCCCAUUCUUUGUCUGAGACUCUCCCCUCCCUCUGAGUUGGGAGCAUGAGGGACACCAGCUGCCAUGGGGGAGGAAGCCCAGAGUCCCCCCUUUGUCUUCGUUGACACUAAAACAGUGGGGAAAGGGGGCACCUCUCUGAGUCCUCGGGGGCUGAAAGGUU
ensembl:lncRNA